AUUGAACGCUGGCGGCAUGCUUUACACAUGCAAGUCGAGCGGCAGCGCGGGGGCAACCCUGGCGGCGAGCGGCGAACGGGUGAGUAAUGCAUCGGAACGUACCCUGGAGUGGGGAUAACGCCGCGAAAGCGGCGCUAAUACCGCAUAUGCUCUGAGGAGGAAAGUGGGGACCGCAAGGCCUCACGCUCUGGGAGCGGCCGAUGUCCGAUUAGCUAGUUGGUGGGGUAAAGGCUUACCAAGGCGACGAUCGGUAGCUGGUCUGAGAGGAUGAUCAGCCACACUGGGACUGAGACACGGCCCAGACUCCUACGGGAGGCAGCAGUGGGGAAUUUUGGACAAUGGGGGGCAACCCUGAUCCAGCCAUGCCGCGUGAGUGAAGAAGGCCUUCGGUUGUAAG
rnacentral:rRNA from 1 species